AGAGUUUGAUCAUGGCUCAGAUUGAACGCUGGCGGCAGGCUUAACACAUGCAAGUCGAGCGGGGGAAGGUAGCUUGCUACCGGACCUAGCGGCGGACGGGUGAGUAAUGCUUAGGAAUCUGCCUAUUAGUGGGGGACAACAUCUCGAAAGGGAUGCUAAUACCGCAUACGUCCUACGGGAGAAAGCAGGGGAUCUUCGGACCUUGCGCUAAUAGAUGAGCCUAAGUCGGAUUAGCUAGUUGGUGGGGUAAAGGCCUACCAAGGCGACGAUCUGUAGCGGGUCUGAGAGGAUGAUCCGCCACACUGGGACUGAGACACGGCCCAGACUCCUACGGGAGAAAGCAGGGGAUCUUCGGACCUUGCGCUAAUAGAUGAGCCUAAGUCGGAUNAUGGUCUAUAAUGCACAUCCAUCGGCGGUGAUGCAGAUAGAAACUUGUUGAAAAACAGUUACUUGUGAUUAGAUUGGUUGCUUUAAGUGAUGAAUUUGAUGAUGAGGUAGUUUGGAGAAUAAGUUUUAAAAAUAUCGAAAUUACCUGUUGACUUUUAAGAGAUUAAGAGUAAUAUAGCCGACCUAGCUUGCUGGUGACGAACCAGUAAGAAGAUCAUUAAGAGAAUUGAAGAACAACUUGUGUGGAUUUUUACUGAUUGAUUAAUCGAAAUAAUUUUCAUUGAUUGAUUGGUUUAAAUUACUCGAAGUUUAUUUGAGCGAAAUUUAAGUCAGUAAUUGAUGAGCCAGAAUUGGCACCUUGUCUAUAAAUAAGGUGCAAAAUGAUUUUAACUGAAGAGUUUGAUCAUGGCUCAGAUUGAACGCUGGCGGCAGGCUUAACACAUGCAAGUCGAGCGGGGGAAGGUAGCUUGCUACCGGACCUAGCGGCGGACGGGUGAGUAAUGCUUAGGAAUCUGCCUAUUAGUGGGGGACAACAUCUCGAAAGGGAUGCUAAUACCGCAUACGUCCUACGGGAGAAAGCAGGGGAUCUUCGGACCUUGCGCUAAUAGAUGAGCCUAAGUCGGAUUAGCUAGUUGGUGGGGUAAAGGCCUACCAAGGCGACGAUCUGUAGCGGGUCUGAGAGGAUGAUCCGCCACACUGGGACUGAGACACGGCCCAGACUCCUACGGGAGGCAGCAGUGGGGAAUAUUGGACAAUGGGGGGAACCCUGAUCCAGCCAUGCCGCGUGUGUGAAGAAGGCCUUAUGGUUGUAAAGCACUUUAAGCGAGGAGGAGGCUACUUUAGUUAAUACCUAGGGAUAGUGGACGUUACUCGCAGAAUAAGCACCGGCUAACUCUGUGCCAGCAGCCGCGGUAAUACAGAGGGUGCGAGCGUUAAUCGGAUUUACUGGGCGUAAAGCGUGCGUAGGCGGCUUAUUAAGUCGGAUGUGAAAUCCCCGAGCUUAACUUGGGAAUUGCAUUCGAUACUGGUGAGCUAGAGUAUGGGAGAGGAUGGUAGAAUUCCAGGUGUAGCGGUGAAAUGCGUAGAGAUCUGGAGGAAUACCGAUGGCGAAGGCAGCCAUCUGGCCUAAUACUGACGCUGAGGUACGAAAGCAUGGGGAGCAAACAGGAUUAGAUACCCUGGUAGUCCAUGCCGUAAACGAUGUCUACUAGCCGUUGGGGCCUUUGAGGCUUUAGUGGCGCAGCUAACGCGAUAAGUAGACCGCCUGGGGAGUACGGUCGCAAGACUAAAACUCAAAUGAAUUGACGGGGGCCCGCACAAGCGGUGGAGCAUGUGGUUUAAUUCGAUGCAACGCGAAGAACCUUACCUGGCCUUGACAUACUAGAAACUUUCCAGAGAUGGAUUGGUGCCUUCGGGAAUCUAGAUACAGGUGCUGCAUGGCUGUCGUCAGCUCGUGUCGUGAGAUGUUGGGUUAAGUCCCGCAACGAGCGCAACCCUUUUCCUUACUUGCCAGCAUUUCGGAUGGGAACUUUAAGGAUACUGCCAGUGACAAACUGGAGGAAGGCGGGGACGACGUCAAGUCAUCAUGGCCCUUACGGCCAGGGCUACACACGUGCUACAAUGGUCGGUACAAAGGGUUGCUACACAGCGAUGUGAUGCUAAUCUCAAAAAGCCGAUCGUAGUCCGGAUUGGAGUCUGCAACUCGACUCCAUGAAGUCGGAAUCGCUAGUAAUCGCGGAUCAGAAUGCCGCGGUGAAUACGUUCCCGGGCCUUGUACACACCGCCCGUCACACCAUGGGAGUUUGUUGCACCAGAAGUAGCUAGCCUAACUGCAAAGAGGGCGGUUACCACGGUGUGGCCGAUGACUGGGGUGAAGUCGUAACAAGGUAGCCGUAGGGGAACCUGCGGCUGGAUCACCU
rnacentral:rRNA from 1 species